rnacentral:rRNA from 1 species
CCUACGGGUGGCAGCAGUAGGGAAUAUUGCUCAAUGGGGGAAACCCUGAAGCAGCAACGCCGCGUGGAGGAUGAAUGUUUUCGGAUUGUAAACUCCUUUUGUUAGAGAAGAUAAUUACGGUAUCUAACGAAUAAGCACCGGCUAACUCCGUGCCAGCAGCCGCGGUAAUACGGAGGGUGCAAGCGUUACUCGGAGUCACUGGGCGUAAAGGGCGCGUAGGCGGGAUAGCAAGUCAGAUGUGAAAUACUAUGGCUUAACCAUAGAACUGCAUUUGAAACUGUUAUUCUAGAGUAUGGGAGAGGUAGGUGGAAUUCGUGGUGUAGGGGUAAAAUCCGUAGAGAUCAAGAGGAAUACUCAUUGCGAAGGCGACCUGCUAGAAUAUAACUGACGCUGAUGCGCGAAAGCGUGGGGAGCAAACAGGAUUAGAUACCCGGGUAGUC